AUUGCUCCUCAAUCAUUUGGCUAAGAUCAAGCAUAGUAUCUGUUCUUAUCAGUUAAUAUCUGAUAUGUUGUCUGUAAAUUAAAUGGAUUUUUACUAUAGAGGAAAAAAACUGUA
ensembl:snRNA U2 U2 spliceosomal RNA